rnacentral:rRNA from 1 species
GUCCACGCAGUAAACGAUGAUUACUAGCUGGUUUGCGAUAUAAUGUAAGUGGCUAAGGGAAACCGAUAAGUAAUCCACCUGGGGAGGUACGUUCGCAAGAAUGAAACUCAAAAGGAAUUGACGGGGGCCCGGCACAAGCGGAGGAACAUGUGGUUUAAUUCGAUGAUACGCGAGGAACCUUACCGGGCUUGAAAUGCAGAAGACGAAUCAAGAAACUGAUUUUCCAGCAAUGGCUUCUGUGUAGGUGCUGCAUGGUUGUCGU